AUACGAACUGUGCAAACGUUAUUCGGAAUCACUGGGCUUAAAGGGUGCGUAGGCGGGUUUGAAGGUCUGAUGUGAAAGCCCACGGCUCGACCGUGGAAUUGCGUUGGAAACCACAAGCCUUGAGGGAGUCAGAGGUGAGCGGAACUAAUGGUGGAGCGGUGAAAUGCGUUGAUAUCAUUAGGAACACCGGUGGCGAAAGCGGCUCACUGGGACUCUUCUGACGCUGAGGCACGAAAGCUAGGGGAGCGAACGGGAUUAGAAACCCUAGUAGUCC
rnacentral:rRNA from 1 species